rnacentral:rRNA from 1 species
GUCGAACGCUGGCGGCGUGCUUAACACAUGCAAGUCGAACGAAGUGGCGAACGGGUGAGUAACGCGUAAUCAACCUGCCCUUCACUAGAGGACAACAGUUGGAAACGGAUGCUAAUACUCUAUAGUGUAGGAUGUUGCUAUAUUGUAUCAGCUAGUUGGUGAGGUAAUGGCUCACCAAGGCUAUGACGCAUAACUGGUCUGAGAGGAUGAGGAGUAAAACUGGAAGUGAGACACGAUCGGGACUCAUACGGGAGGGAGCAGUAGGGAAUAGUGCUCAAUGGGGGAAUCCCUGGAGCAGCGACGCGGCGUGAAGGAUGACAAGUUGCGGAGCGGAAACUCCUGUUAAUAGGGAAGCGGUACCUAACGAAGAAGCACCGGCUAACUCCGUGCCAGCAGCCGCGGUAAUAC